AGUAAUACUAGAAAUGGCAGAAAGUGAGGAGGUAACAUCUGCAUCUUCGUGGAAUACAAGACCUUCUUCGACUUCAUCAUAUUUUUCCAAUUAUGCUGUUACUUCAUCACAACAAGAGCCUGAAACAGAGCCAUUCAACAUUCAGGUACUAGGCGACCAAUCGUACAUACAGGAAUUCUGAAUAUAUACAUGAGCGAAUGAUAGGAGUCACCAAAAAAACAAGAAAUUUAAAUAAUUUUAUUCGUCUUACGUUUUUGAAAUAUAUUGUUCUCAUUAAA